rnacentral:rRNA from 1 species
CAAACCUGUCCCUACGUUCCGGAUAAUUGACCGAAAGGUCUUGUAAUACGGGGGAGGGUCCAUCGGAGGCAUCUUCAGGUGGAAGGAACGCGCAGGAGCAAUCCUGUGCGGCGCGGGGAGGGGUUCGCGGAUUAUCAGCUUGUUGGUGAGGUAAUGGCUCACCAAGGCGACGACGAUUAGCCGGUCUGAGAGGAUGGUCAGCCACAUUGGAACUGAGACACUGUCCAG